UGCAAGUCGAACGGAGUUAUUUUGGCAGAAGCCUUCGGGUGGACGCUGAUAUAACUUAGUGGCGAACGGGUGAGUAACACGUGAGCAACCUGCCCUUCAGAGGGGGACAACAGUUGGAAACGACUGCUAAUACCGCAUAAGACCACGGUGUGGCAUCACACAGAGGUCAAAGGAGAAAUCCGCUGAAGGAUGGGCUCGCGUCCAAUUAGCUAGAUGGUGAGGUAACGGCCCACCAUGGCGACGAUUGGUAGCCGGACUGAGAGGUUGAUCGGCCACAUUGGGACUGAGACACGGCCCAGACUCCUACGGGAGGCAGCAGUGGGGAAUAUUGCACAAUGGAGGAAACUCUGAUGCAGCGACGCCGCGUGAGGGAAGAAGGUCUUCGGAUUGUAAACCUCUGUUGUCAGGGACGAUAAUGACGGUACCUGACGAGGAAGCCACGGCUAACUACGUGCCAGCAGCCGCGGUAAAACGUAGGUGGCAAGCGUUGUCCGGAAUUACUGGGUGUAAAGGGAGCGCAGGCGGGAGAGCAAGUUGGAAGUGAAAUCUGUGGGCUCAACUCACAAAUUGCUUUCAAAACUGUUUUUCUUGAGUGGUGUAGAGGUAGGCGGAAUUCCCGGUGUAGCG
rnacentral:rRNA from 1 species